rnacentral:rRNA from 1 species
UACGGAGGGGGCGAGCGUUGUUCGGAGUUACUGGGCGUAAAGCGCACGUAGGCGGUGCGGUAAGUCUGGUGUAAAAGGCAGCGGCUCAACCAUUGUAUGCAUUGGAAACUGGUAGACUUGAGUGCAGGAGAGGAGAGUGGAAUUCCAUGUGUAGCAGUGAAAUGCGUAGAGAUCAGGAGGAACACCGAUGGCGAAGGCAGCCCCCUGGGCCUGUACUGACGCUCAUGCACGAAAGCGUGGGGAGCAAACAGG